UCAAACUUGGUCAUUUAGAGGAAGUAAAAGUCGUAACAAGGUUUCCGUAGGUGAACCUGCGGAAGGAUCAUUAGCGAAGUACGGAACGCGUGUGAGGAGCUGAGCUGCCCAGCGAUGGGACGUGCUCGCCCUUGUGCGUGUCCCUUCACUAUCCACCCCACUGUGAACCAAGUGUGCGAGCCGAAGAGAGAUCGGAGGCUCGCAUGCAACCCUUAACAUACCCCAACGAAGUAUCAGAAUGUACCUUGCGUUAACUCGCACAAAUACAACUUUCAACAACGGAUCUCUUGGCUCUCGCAUCGAUGAAGAACGCAGC
rnacentral:misc_RNA from 1 species